rnacentral:rRNA from 1 species
CAGCAGCCGCGGUAAUACGUAGGGUGCGAGCGUUAAUCGGAAUUACUGGGCGUAAAGCGUGCGCAGGCGGUUAUAUAAGACAGAUGUGAAAUCCCCGGGCUCAACCUGGGACCUGCAUUUGUGACUGUAUAGCUAGAGUACGGUAGAGGGGGAUGGAAUUCCGCGUGUAGCAGUGAAAUGCGUAGAUAUGCGGAGGAACACCGAUGGCGAAGGCAAUCCCCUGGACCUGUACUGACGCUCAUGCACGAAAGCGUGGGGAGCAAACAGGAUUAGAUACCCGAGUAGUCCCUGUCUCUUAUAC